rnacentral:rRNA from 1 species
GCCAGCAGCCAUAUAACCCUGCGACUCACAACUGGCAACCCACUGAAGCUAAGCAGGUGUGAGCCUGGUCAGUACCUGCAUGGGAGACCUCCUGGGAAAAACUAAGGAUGCUGCUGGAA